UCUUUUCUUAGAUAAACUAUAACCAACACACUGGAAGAAGAGUACCCUCUGAAACCUAAAGGAGGAAUGCUCUCCCUUGGAACCAAGCCAUCAUUCUAUGAGGAAGCCAAGCAGCCACAUGAAAAGGCCCUAUGUAGACAUUCUAACUGACAAUACUAGCUAAGGUUCCAGCUACUCACCAGCAUCAACUAUCAGACAAAUUCCUAUCAUUAAUAGAAGAAACUAUAUGCCAAGUGACAGCCAGUGAAGCAGAACAACAGGAGAAGACGGCAAAGCCAGAAGCAAAUUAUUUCAAUGGAAGAAAAAUCCCCUCUCCAGGUGCAUCUGCAAUCAAAGACAUCAUCUGGAUGCUUACCAUAGUUGAGAUGACAAACGGAAAAAAUGGUAGAGAGAGGAGAGAAGUAAGAGAGAAUAUUACUCCUGCCAAAGCAAGCCCACUUCUUCAGAAAUAACAAGUGAAGCCAACAUAGAAACCUAAAACUAUCAGUGACAUCUACUCAAGUCUUGGCAAAUACAGAAAAGGCCCCCAAAACAUCACCAGGGGCUGCUGAGGAGAACUUACACCAUCAAGAAAAAGGAAAAUUCAUUCAAUCGAGCCCAACUCAUUUGCACACCUUGAUACUGAACACUGCAACAGGCAUGGGAAAAACAAUGCUGAGCAAGAUGUGAUCACCAUUCUCAAGAUAACCUCAGUCUAAUAAAAAUGGGGCUCCAGGAACUGCACUUGAAAGCACCAGAGUAUUGGGAGGCCGAGGCGGGUGGGUCACGAGGUCAGUUCAAGACCAGCCUGGCCAAGAUGGUGAAACCCCAUCUCUAUUAAAAAUACAAAAAUUAGCCAGGCUUGGUGGUGGGCACCUGUAAUCCCAGCUACUCAGGAGGCUGAGGCAGAGACUUGCUUGAACCCGGGAGGCAGAGGUUGCAGUGAGCCGAGAUCACACCACUGCACUCCAGCCUGGGCGACAGAGCAAGACUCCAUCUCAAAAAAAAAAAAAAAACCCCCAGUGUAAUGGAACUCACUCAUUCUCAUUCUCUUUCACCCACUCUAACGGACUACACUUCCCAAGCAGCAAGUACCAUUGCAUAAUAGCUUUUAUAUUUUUUAGGUCUGGUAAUUUACAGAAAGGACUGCACACACUUUUUUCAACCUGCAUGUUGGACCUUGCAGGGCUGUCAAGCCUCCUGUUGAGAAGAAAUUGAGUGUGAAUAGACUCAGUGGGAAGCAGCAUUAUGGAGUAGAGAUUUGGGCAUAAAAUGGCAGCAGGGAUGCAUAUACACCAUAUACUCACCUCUCCUGGCUGUUAGAUCCUUUAUAUUCCACAAGCCUGUCUUUGGAAUAUAUAUGAUAUAUUAUCUCUAACCAACAAAUUAAGUGAUGAUAGAGGGUAAGACAGGGUUUAGAUAAUUUAGCAUGUUCAGUUCAAGAGAAAAUUGAGAUAUAAUUAAAUAUAUAUGAGAAAAUUGAGAUAUAUUUAUAUAUCUCUCCCUCAAUUUUCUCAAAAAAAAAAAAAAUAUAUAUAUAUAUAUAUAUAUAUAUAUAUAUAUAUAUAUAUUUUAAGAGCGAGAUAGGGACUCACGCUCUGUGGCCCAGGCUAGAGUGCAAUGGCAAUCAUAGCUCACUGCAGCCUCAAACUCAUGGGGGCUCAAGUGAUCCUCCCAUGUCAGCCUCCUGAGGAGCUGGGGACUAGAGGUGCAGGGCACCACACCUAGCUACUUAAAAAAAUAUUUUUGCUGGGCAUGGUAGCUCAUGCCUGUAAUCCCAGCACUUCGGGAGGCUGAGGUGGGAGGACUGCUUGAGCCCAGGAGUUCAAGACUGGCCUGGGAAACAGCAAGACCGCAUCUCUAUUAAGAAAAAAAAAAAAAAUUCGGACGGGCACAGUGGCUCACGCCCGUAAUCCCAGCACUUUGGGAGGCCGAGGCGGGCAGAUCACAAGGUCAGGAGAUGGAGACCAUCCUGGCUAACACGGUGAAACCCCGUCUCUACUAAAAAUACAAAAAAUUAACCAGGCAUGGUGGCGAGCGCCUGUAGUCCCAGCUACUCGGGAGGCUGAGGCAGGAGAAUGGCGUGAACCCGGGAGGUGGAGCCUGCAGUGAGCCGGAGAUCACGCCACUGCACUCUAGCCUGGGUGAGAGAGCUAGACUGUAUCAAAAACAAAAUUAUUUAAAAAUAAAAAUAUUUUUUUUUGUAGAGACAGAGGUCUUGCUAUGUUGCCCAGGUUGGUCAACAUAGCAAGGCCAAGCUGAUCCUCUGGCCUCAGCCUCCCAAACUGCUGGGCUUAUAGGCGUGAGCCAUUGUGCCCAGCCUGGAAUAUGCUGAAUAUAAAAGUGCUUGUGAGCUGCUAUGUACUAUAGGAAUGUAAUGAAAACAAUAUUUUACUAUUACUGUUUCUACAACAAUCCACUUUUAUGUGGGAAGUGGUGAGUAAGUCCUGAUGGCCCUGUGUUAAAUCUUUAAGGCCAAAUGUCUUCUUUAGUCCUGGCAGGAAUAAACAAGUUUUUCAAAAAUGGUGUGCAAACACACACACACAUACAUAAUUACAACCAGCAAAUCAGAUUUAUAGAAUUUUCUGAACAAAUUCACCUCAAAAUAUAUCUAUUUAUAUUUAUAUAUCAAAAUUGGAAUCACAAAUAAAUGGGGAAGGGAUUGCAAUUUCAAUAAAUUCAGUGCUAGGAAAACCUACAGUGUUACAGCUCUUUUAGAAUUUGUCUAGCAGGCUUUCCGGUUUUUGCUGGAAAGCUCCCCAGAAAAAAUUCCAAAAAGAAAAAGAAAACCUACUAGCAGUUAAGGAGGAAAAAAAUCAGCAAUUCUACCAGAUAAGUAAGGUUAGCAUUUAUUUGAUCUUCAGGGAAGGACUUCCUACAGAUACAUACAAACUUUGCAUCCAUUAAAGUACAGAGAGAAAACAAAAAAGAUAAAUACAAUGAAAAAUAUCAAAUUUAGGACAUAAGACUGUGCAUUUAAAAAAAAUCCCAAGUAAAAUUAAAAGAGCAAAAGAAUUAUUAGGGGAAAAAAAACUCCAAACAUUCCACUAAUAUAGCUGGCAAAGACAUUUUAAAAAUACAGAGCAUAUGCAAACCAAUUCUUUAGUAAGAUGGAGCCAUUUAUACACUGCAUUUGAAAUUACAAACUAUGAUAACUUGUCUGGCAAUACAAAUCCAGAUGUUAAAAAACGUGCAUGCACUCUGAAUAAUUCCAGUUCUAAGACUAUCAAGGAAAAUAAUCUGAAAUACAAAGAUUUAUAUACAAAGAUGGCUAUCAUGGCUUCAAAGUAGUGAAAAAUGGGGAUGAUCUAAAUACCCAGCUAAGAAGAAAUAUUUAAAUUGUGAUAUACACUGUAAAGUAUUAUACAGCCAAAUGUUUUUUUUGUUUGUUUGUUUUUGUUUUUGAGAAAGGCUCUUGCUCUGUCACCCAGGCUGGCAUGCAGCAGAGCAAUCAUUGCUCACUGCAUCCUUGACCUCCCAGGAUCAAGUGAUCCCAUCCCGAGUGACUGGAACUACGGAGGCGCGUGUUAUCAUGCUUGGCUUUUUUUUUUUGAAGUAGAGACGGGGUCUCAUUAUGUUUCUCAGGCUACUCUCGAACUCCCAGGCUCAAGCCAUCUUCCUGCCUCAGCUUCCCAAAGUGCUGGGAUUACAGGAAUGAGCGACCGCACUCAGCCUCAUUUUCUUAAUAAUAUGGAGAAAUGAUCACAACAUAAUGUUAAAAGUAUAUUAAAAAGGGCAUAAAAAUAAACACAGCAAAUGCACUGUUUUUGUUUGUUUUUUGUUUUUUUGAGACGGAGUCUUGCGCUGUCACCCAGGCUGGAGUGCAGUGGCGCGAUCCCGGCUCACUGCAAGCUCCGCCUCCCGGGUUCACGCCAUUCUCCUGCCUCAGCCUCCAGAGUAGCGGGGACUACGGGCGCCCGCCACCAUGACCGGCUAAUUUUUGUAUUUUUAGUAGAGACGGGGUUUCACUGUGUUAGCCAGGAUGGUCUCGAUCCCUGACCUCAUGAUCCCGCCAACUUGGCCUCCCAAAGUGCUGGGAUUACAGGCAUGAGCCACCGCGCCCGGCCGCAAAUGCACGUUUUAAUUUAUUUUUAUUUUUAUUUAUUUUUUGAGACGGAGUCUCGCUUUUUUGCCCAGGCUGGAGUGCAGUGGCACGGUCUCGGCUCACCGCAACCUCCGCCUCCCGGAUUCAAGUGAUUCUCCUGCCCCAGCCUCCCAAGUAGCUGGGAUUACAGGUGUGUGGCACCACAUCCAGCUAAUUUUUUUUAUUUUUAGUAGAGACAGGGUUUCAGCAUGUUGGCCAGGCUGGUCUUAAACUACUGACCUCAAGUGAUCCGCCGCCUCUGCCUCCCCAAGUGUUGGGAUUACAGGCGUGAGUCACCGCGCCCGGCCUGCAAAUGUGCAUGUUUUUAAAGGCAUAGGAAAACACAUACAAAUGAAAAGCCUGAAAGAAAACAUAAAACUUUAACAUCUGUUAUCUCUGGGUGGCAGGAUUUUACUUUUCACUUUGUACAGUUUUCAAAUAUCAUAUAAUGGUUACACAUUAACUUUUAUAAUCAGGAAAAAAAUUUUUGGAUGCAGCAGCUAAAUCCAGGGAAGGUCACUCAGUUUCUUCAACAAAUAAAUGGCAAAAAAAUAAAUAAAUCUUAAGAGAUGGCAGGGGAAUGGUUACAGAUUAAAACAAAAUUAAGAGAUACCAAUCUUGAUUCAAACCAACCUAGUAAAAGGACAUUUAUGAACUAUCAGGAACUUUGAACACUGUUUAAAUGACAUUGUUACAUAAGUACAAUGUCAAUGAUCACAUCUAAAAAGAGUCCUUAUCUCUUAGGACUCUCACUAAGUAUUUUCAGUUAAAGUGAUACAAUACCUGGGGUCUAGUUUAAAAUAAACCUGCCAAGUGGGGAGAGGUAUGGAUGAAACAAAACCACCGUGAGUUUAACUGCUGAAGGCAAAUGAUGGGUCCACAGAGAUUCAUUAUACCAUUCUACCUUUUAGUGCUAAAAAUUUCAAAUUAUUAAUACAUAAAAGGUUUUUAAAAAUACAUUUUUAUAGAAAAACAAACAAUUAUCUCUUUCCCUUCUCUCCCACUCCAUGCAAACAGAGCUCUUCCUGAGAAGGCAGGGAUAACAUUGGCUAAUUCAAGGUCAGAAUAUGAAAAUUCUUUUAUUGUGAUUUUAAAGAAUGUGAUUUAUGAUAAAACUACUUUUCAUAUAGCCAGCCAAAUCUUCACAGUGAUGAAGAACAAUAUCAUAAUCCUUUCCAUGUUAAAAAUAGGCUGCGCGCGGUGGUUCAUGCCUGUAAUCCCAGCACUUUGUGAGGCCAAGAAAGUUAGAUCACCUGAGGCCAAGAGUUCAAGACCAGCCUGGCCAACAUGGUGAAACUCCAUCUCUACUAAAAAUACAAAAAAAUUAGCCAG